AUGAAGAGAGCUUGCUCUCUGAUUCAGCGGCGGACGGGUGAGUAAUGCCUAGGAAUCUGCCUAGUAGUGGGGGACAACGUUUCGAAAGGAACGCUAAUACCGCAUACGUCCUACGGGAGAAAGUGGGGGAUCUUCGGACCUCACGCUAUUAGAUGAGCCUAGGUCGGAUUAGCUAGUUGGUAGGGUAACGGCCUACCAAGGCGACGAUCCGUAACUGGUCUGAGAGGAUGAUCAGUCACACUGGAACUGAGACACGGUCCAGACUCCUACGGGAGGCAGCAGUGGGGAAUAUUGGACAAUGGGCGAAAGCCUGAUCCAGCCAUGCCGCGUGUGUGAAGAAGGCCCUCGGGUCGUAAAGCACUUUAAGUUGGGAGGAAGGGCUUGCAGCGAAUACCUGUGAGUUUUGACGUUACCAACAGAAUAAGCACCGGCUAACUUCGUGCCAGCAGCCGCGGUAAUACGAAGGGUGCAAGCGUUAAUCGGAAUUACUGGGCGUAAAGCGCGCGUAGGUGGCUUG
rnacentral:rRNA from 1 species